rnacentral:lncRNA from 1 species
AUUAUCUCUAAUUAUUGUUGUUUCAGUUUUUAUUUAUUUGGUUUAGUUCAGUCCAGUCUUAAGACUGGUCAAUUGUUCUGAGAGUACUAGAACUGAUUUAAAAAAAAAAGUUGAAAUACGAAAGAAAGUGACGCUUUGAAGGACCGAGUUGUAUAAGUUUUAGCACUGGUAUGCAGGAAUGAACUAGAUCGGAUCAAGACUGAACUUAUCGGGAAUGCAGUUUCAAGUCCUAUAUAAGUACAUUUCCUCAAAUUUUCGAAGUUUUCUUAUCAUAAUCAUUAUCAUUUAAAUAAAAAGCAAUGAUUUAGUAAAUGUGGAUUUUUUUCUUUCAUGUUUCAUGUUUAUAUAUAAUGUUUACAAUGUAUUCAGAUCCCUUUGGGAAUAUAAUUGACAUAAAAUAAUAAUGUGGUUUAGUUAGUGUGAAAAACUUUC